UUAGAAGGAAUCGCAUAUGAAAAGGUAACUUUCUCGACAAGUCUUAUAUAAAGGACAUAGUCAUAAUAGUCUCGUGUAGAUGGAAACCUUCCUAUAUAUGUGUGAUUAUGUUCAAGCUUAUUUCUGAGAAAAAUAAGAUUAAACAGAUGGCACCACAGUAAGAAUAUAUCCAUUGAAAUUACUUUUCACUGUUUCCGAGGAAAAGAUACUUUUGAUAAGUGUUAUAUAUUUACAACUACUUUGGAAUAUUUGAGAAAUCCCAAAUGUAGAUAAUACGUCAUUAUUCAACAAGUAUCACUGGCAGAGUUACUGAGCAAUAUUAAGUAACACCAUCUUUACCAACUCAAGCAUUAGCCUUUUGCUUUGAUGAUACUUAGAAGAAUAUGACCUAGUGGGAAAUCAGCAACAAAUGAGUGGGCCCAUUUAUUUAAUCAAGCCAUUGCAUUUUUUAACCAUAAUUGGACAUCUAAUUGCAGUCUAAAACCAAGUUGAUGUGACUACAUAAGAAAGGUAUUAUAGUCAUAUUUAAAAGCACACUAAAUGCUGUUGUCCAUUUUAUCACUGCAAUGACUUAUACUGUGUACUCUGUAUUGAGAGAGUCUUGAUUUUGACUUUGAAAUACAUUUUAAUUUUUAAAAAUAUUUUACAAAAAAUGAGAAAAAUAAUUCAGCUGAUAAGGUCAAUAAGGAAAAAUAAUAAAUUGCAACUCACUUUCGAUAAAGUAACAUUUGUCUGAACAAGAAUAAAUUCAGAGCAUGUAUUUAUUUAUAUUCUAAUGGUGUUUUAAAUUCUAAAGCUAUCCUAUGAUAAAAAUAUAUAAGUAUUACCAAACAUAUUUCAUUUGCCUGUUAUGAUAGGCACAAUGGCAAAGGUUCAUUCAAUUUACUCAACAGAGUGUAGAUAGGUGGUAUGACACAUCAGCCUUUCAAGGAUCUAUGUUGUUUUUUCCAUAAAAUUCAAUGUUAGGCUUUUUAUACAAGAUCAGUUUUUAUUACUGUUUUACCAGAUCUGAGUGGCUACUAUUUAAUAGUUUGAUUGCUAUUUAGUUCCUAGUCAGUUUCAUCAAUUAGUUUAGUCAGGAAGCUCAGUCAAAAUAAUUGGGUUUGUAUAGAGAUAGCCUAAAUCAAUAGGAUGAAAGAGGGAAAGAAAUUAUAUUUCGGUAUCACUGAAUUCAGAACAGAGCAAUAAAUAAUACAUACUUUCUAACUUGGCCUUGUAGUUAUGCCAGGGGGGAAAAGGGAGGCCACCAAAUCAUUUAUGAGGAAAAAAUAUAGAUCUAAAAUGUGAAGGUAGCUUAUAGUAGAAAAACUUCUAAUAGAAAAAAGCAUAUAAAUUUUGAAGGUCUAAGGAGAACAGUGACUAAAUAUUAUUGCAAGCACAACACUCUUCAAAAGCAAAUGAGCUUAAAUAUACUCAUUGGCACAGAUGUGAAUUAGUAUGAAAAGUAACUUUAAGAAUAUUUAGAGAUAUUUUCAAGUUUUUGUACUUAAAGUUUAAAUACAACUUUUUUUCUCCAAUAUCUCCUUCCAAAAUAAAACAUCUUCAGAAUGCCCCCCCACAAGGCCUAUAGACUGUUAUAUUUGUUAUUGCCAUGCUGCAAUUUUAUUCUUAUGCUUCUUAGUCAAUGGGUUAUUUUACAGUAAAAUUUGGAGCAUGACACACCAUAUGAAGAGGUAAAGCAAAUCCACAGAAGAAAGAGGAUAAAAGCAUCACUCUAUGCUUCCGUUUGGUUAGUUAGGAUUAUUUUGCCCUCCCUUCCCCACUCUCCUCACGCCCCCCAAAAAAAUUAUUUGCACUCUAUGCAUCAAGAUAGUUUUUGGUCAUUAUUUUUAGAUUAAUUAUCAAGAUACAGAUUUCUUCAGAGAAUAUAAGGAAAGUUUUUUGAAGUAACUAGAGUAAAUAUGACUAUUUCCUAAUAGAAAGUUGGUCCAGUAUAUAUUCUGGCUAACUCAUUAUAAAAGUAGUCAACCUUUGCUUUACUUUUCUUUAGCAUUUCAGCUACUAAAAACAUUGUUUUAAGUUACAAACAUUGGGUGCAUCAUAAUUACAGACACUUAAGAGACAAAUACAUUUUGACAUUUAUUUCCUCCACUGUCAGAUUCUAUUAUGUGUUAAAAGGAAAUCCAUUCAUUACAAUACUGCAUGUUAGGAGUUGAAAAAUAACUCAAAGCUUUUUCACUUCAUAAUUUUGUUUUUCAAGGAGCAAUAAUCACAAAACUAUACAUACAUUGUCCGGAAUUUUUUAAAAUAAAAGUUUCGUUAAAAUAUCCAUCUUCAAUUUUCAGGCUAGAAUGGGGUUCUUAUAGAUUUCUAUGCAUCAAGGCAGCCAUUUUUAAAGACGACAUCUUUAAAGAAGAUAUAUCUAUGUAAUGGGUUCCACUUACUGCUAAAUUAGUUUAACUAAUGACAUCAUGUUGGGACAAUCAUGUUUUACUUUUAGUAUUAAUUCUACUUUCUUUGACUAUAUCCAUGUAGAAUGAAGACAGGUGUUUUCUUUGUACAAGAAUUGUUUUGACAGACAGAUUCAAAAGAUAGAGAACUAUAUCAAUACAUCUGCUUGGUACUUUUUAACUGCACAGAAUUCCUACAAGUAGGAGGGAACUGAAGACAGGGGAAGGUACAUUUCAUAUAAGAAGUAAAAAAUUAAAAGCAUGAUCAUGGAAAAAAAACAAAAAACAAAAAACACCGGAUCCUUGUUAAAUAGAGAAUGGAGGGAAGAUAUAGGGAUCCUUCAUCAUUGCAAUCCUGAUAAAAGACCAAGUCAUGUUCAGUCCAGAUAACUGUAAAUGGAGCCUAGCUUUAUGAUACACUCUAGGCUCUGAAACUACAUUGACAAAGCAAGUAGCAAGAAACUAAAGUCCUGUAUCCAAUACACUUGCAAACUAAAAAUCUCUGCAUGACUACCAUGAAUAAGUAGCAUUUAUAAAGUAUCAUCUUAUCCUUAAGAAUAUAUUAAUUAUAGCACUCAGCCACUACCCUUUCUAGGAAGAUUUCUUUCACAUUUAGUUUUAAUAAACCACUUCCAUUUAACAAUUCUAGCAUAGUUACCAUUUAUGUUUUCUGCAAUAUUCCCAUGUACUCUCUACUCUUCAGAUUUAAUUAUACCCACCCUCACACUGAUGGAAGUUUCUUAAUUUGUAUACAGUAAACAUUUUCAUAAGAUAUUUCUUAUGAUAUCAGGGGAAAGAUGUAUCUUUAGAAAUUAGUUUUUUCACUAAAGAUACUUUAAUCUCUUCUUUCAGCAACACUAAUUUGGUUUCAGCCUCUUCCUAAAAGUAUCAUUUGGCAUUCUCUCCACUCUCUUUACCUCCCUUAUUCUAUUUUCUGGAAUUCAUAUUCUUUCUUCCUGUUUCAACACACCGAAUUUUUUCUUUAUUUUUUUCC
rnacentral:lncRNA from 1 species